UACGGGGGGGGGCAAGCGUUGUUCGGAAUUACUGGGCGUAAAGGGCUCGUAGGCGGCCAACUAAGUCAGACGUGAAAUCCCCAGGCUCAACCUGGGAACUGCGUCUGAUACUGGAUGGCUUGAAUCCGGGAGAGGGAUGCAGAAUUCCAGGUGUAGCGGUGAAAUGCGUAGAUAUCUGGAGGAAUACCGGUGGCGAAGGCGGCACUCUGGGCUGGAACUGACGCUGAGGAGCGAAAGCGUGGGUAGCAAACAGG
rnacentral:rRNA from 1 species